ACACUUACCUGCUCUGUGGUAUGGAUUAAACCUGAUAUGGGUAUUAUCUUUAACUGUACAUAUACUGGUCCAGACCAUUCCCAGGGUAAGCUGUAUGAGAAUGUGAUACAACAGGAUGGUGGAAAUUGAUUCAGAUUCUUAGGGAACUUCAGGAACAAUGAUAUCUCAAUAAUGAUGGAGGGACUGAACCAAGAAGAUGCUGGUCUUUAUGAGUGUCAUGUGAAGUUCAAUAUUGGCAGUUUUCAACCACAGUCUCCAACAAUGCCGGAAGUGGAAGAAAAAUGCAGAAGUUACUGCUCUUCCUGGGCGCUACCGAAGAACUGUUGAUCAACUUAAGUGGGGAAAUCAGCCUGCAAUAGGGAAGAAAGUCAAGACUCAAGGUGUGCUGCUGAUCAUUCGCCUCCUCAGUCCUUAUGUGGACAGCAUCCUGACUCUGACUGCCCUGAGCAGUGCCUGUACAUAUCAGUAGUUGCACUUGGCUCAGUGUGCGAGGAGACCCCCCAGAAAGGCCGUCACCCUGACCCAACUGCUGAUGACUGACAACAAUUACAAGCUUCUUAUGUCUGUUCUAACUCCAUAACAAGACAGCAGUAAUAUGAGCGCGGUAUCUCUGGCUGAAGGAGCAAAGUGCUAAAAGGCAAAUCAGGGAUAUUGUGAGCAUUCAGGGGUAUUGUUAAGGAGGGAAUUCCAGAAUAUUGACCCAGCAACACUGAAGGAAUGACAAUAUGUUUCAAGGCCAGAAUGGUGAGUAUCUUGGA